UAACAUCAAACUCAGAUGUUAAGUGUGAAGGAUAACGUUGCUCCAGCAACGGCCCGUAGGGCGAGGCAAAGCCGAGUCAUCCUGCACGACCCACCA
rnacentral:sRNA from 1 species